rnacentral:rRNA from 1 species
GGUAGCAUAAUCAUUAGUCAUUUAAUUGAUGACUUGUAUGAAAGAUUGGAUGAAAUAUAAACUGUCUCUUAAUUAAAUAUAGAAUUUAAUUUUUUAAUUAAAAAGUUAAAAUAAAUUAAAAAGACGAGAAGACCCUAUAGAGUUUUAUAGUUAAUUUAGUUGAGAUUAUUUAAAUAAAAAAAAAUUAAAAUUAAGUUAAUUAUUUUGUUGGGGUGAUAGAAAAAUAUAAAUAACUUUUUUUAAAAUUAAAACAUUUAUAAGUGGUUAAAUGAUCCAAUAUUAUUGAUUAUAAGAAAAAAUUACCUUAGGGAUAACAGCGUAAUUUUUUUUUUUAGUUCAAAUAAUAAAAAGAGUUUGCGACCUCGAUGUUGGAUUAAGAUAAAAUUUAAAUGCAGAAG